rnacentral:rRNA from 1 species
CCUACGGGCGGCAGCAGUGGGGAAUAUUGCACAAUGGGGGAAACCCUGAUGCAGCGACGCCGCGUGAAGGAUGAAGUAUUUCGGUAUGUAAACUUCUAUCAGCAGGGAAACAAAUGACGGUACCUGACUAAGAAGCCCCGGCUACAUACGUGCCAGCAGCCGCGGUAAUACGUAGGGGGCACGCGUUAUCCGGAUUUACUGGGUGUAAAGGGAGCGUAGACGGUAUGGCAAGUCUGAUGAGAAAACCCCGGGCUCAAACCCGGGGCUGCAUUUGAAACUGCCGAACUAGAGUGUGGGAGAGGCAAGUGGAAUGCCUAGUGUAGCGGUGAAAUGCGUAGAUAUUAGGAGGAACACCAGUGGCGAAGGCGGCUUGCUGGACGAUGACUGACGUUGAGGCUCGAAAGCGUGGGGAGCAAACAGGAUUAGAUACCCUUGUAGUC